rnacentral:rRNA from 1 species
GAUGAACGCUGGCGGCGUGCCUAAUACAUGCAAGUCGAGCGAACAGAUGAGGAGCUUGCUCCUCUGACGUUAGCGGCGGACGGGUGAGUAACACGUGGAUAACCUACCUAUAAGACUGGGAUAACUUCGGGAAACCGGAGCUUAUACCGGAUAAUAUAUUGAACCGCAUGGGGCAAUAGUGAAAGACGGUUUUGCUGUCACUUAUAGAUGGAUCCGCGCCGCAUUAGCUAGUUGGUAAGGUAACGGCUUACCAAGGCAACGAUGCGUAGCCGAACUGAGAGGCUGAUCGGCCACACUGGAACUGAGACACGGUCCAGACUCCUACGGGAGGCAGCAGUAGGGAAUCUUCCGCAAUGGGCGAAAGCCUGACGGAGCAACGCCGCGUGAGUGAUGAAGGUCUUCGGAUCGUAAAACUCUGUUAUUAGGGAAGAACAAAUGUGUAAGUAACUAUGCACGUCUUGACGGUACCUAAUCAGAAAGCCACGGCUAACUACGUG